GGACGAGGGGCGGGCACAGCGCGCCUGGUGGCCCCCUCCCAGGAAAACAGGGGGCUUGCGCGGGCGGGAUGGAGGGGGUGCUGUUGGGGACAGGGCCCUCGCCUCCCCCGAGCAGACGCAGCUCCCCCCACCACCACUCUCGGGCGCAGGCGGGGCCCGGCACGUGGGCAGGUGCCAUCCCGCGCCCUAAAAAUAACGGCAGGGAACUAGGUCGCGGCCGCAGGGAGGCGGCCCCGCAGCGGCUGUCUGACUGGGGGUCUGGGGUGACCCCCAGUGGGAAGAUGAGGGGGCUAAGGCGGCGCAGGGGGGGAAGGGCGCCAUGGAAUACGGGCCCUGGGGAGUCCGUCUGCAAAGCUAGAGAGGCCGGCCCUGAAGGGUUGGAGGAGAAGCAGACCUUCGCCCGCCAGUAUCUCUGAGGCUCAGGAGGUCGGAGCUGAAGACACGGACAGCCCAGGGCCCGCGAGUGAAGCCCGGCCCCACUCCCCGAGGGGCUCAGGCCGCCGGGCCGCCUGUCGGGCCCAUCGCGUCCUGAAAUGAGUGGAGUGGAACCUGAUGAGUUACAGCCAGCUCUCAUUAUGUGAGACGGUCAGGAGUCUCAGCACCCCACCCCACGACCAGUCCCUGGAGUCCACAGACAGGGACUUUCCGACACAUCCGUGGAUGAGAUGCGAUGAAAAACUAAGGACCAGAGGAAAAUGAGUGCAUAUGGACUCGAUGCCAGUGAACCGCAGAAUCCAAUUCAGAAGUGUUCUCUUUACUCCAACGUAGGGCUCCCCUAAAAAGAGGUUUUAAACUAGCUUUGCCUCCAGCAGAUGAAGCAAAGAUACAGUCAUAUUCUUGGCUCAAAGAAAGAAAGAAAGAAAAGACAAAGGAGGAAAGAAAGAAAAGCAAUUGGGUCUGAAAUGGGCUUUCUCCUUUUUAUGCUCUUGUUUUCGGGGUGCGAGGCUGAACUGACCAGUCAGUUGGCUUGGAUCUGAAGGGAAACCCAUAAGACCUUCCAGAGUUCUAAAGAGCCAGCCAUAUGCUUGGAAACUCCGCUUUAAAACAUGGGUUUCAGAACCGUGGACAGGACCCACCACUCCGAUUCCCUUGUACACUUUUGUGGUACUCCAUGGAUCAACCAUGGAGACUGUCAGCUGACUCAAAGGUAUUUUUGAGAAAUCCACAAAAGUAUCAGUCAUUCGGUGAUGAGGAGUCCCAGCUGACCCUUGGGGAUAAAGAGUUAGCUAUUCAAACAAGGGCAUGAGCAUUAGUAUUCUUGACUUCCAGAGAGAAAACCAUAAAAAAAUAAAAAAUAAAAAAAUAGUAUUCUGAUUGGGGAAAAGGUUUAAAGUGAUAGCUGGUAAGAAGGUCACUUUUCAAGACUUUCUCCCCAUCCCACUACACAUAUACACUGCCGUCAUCACCACCAGCAGCAGUACUGUAGUUUUCUACUGCUCUGUACACACAUAGUAAAAUAUGCCAGUCUGUCUGAGAGUGUUUUUCCCCAUCUAAAGUUUAUCAGCAAUCCAAAGUGUAGGUACCAGAGCUACUGUAACUCUGACCACUCAGGGAAUGAGCUCAACCAUGGGGAAACUUAUACCCAUAGGGAUAUGGGUGGAGCAGGAAUGGUUCCUUUCUAUCAGUCCAUAUUUAUCAGAGUUCUGACCUCAAGAGUCACCUGUGCCAGUGGUUCUAUCCUCUAGCAGAAUUCUGUGUAUUUCUGGGCAAAUCCAAGUUCCUGUCUCUGGGCCUCAGUAUACUGUUUAUCAAAUGAAAGCAUUAGGCUGCGUAGCCCUAUUUCUUCCGGUCCCUAUUAUCCUUAUAUUAAAGCCAUAGAGCACUUCCUGAGAAGCCCAGACUAAGUUAGGAGACAAUUCAAAAAGGAGAUCUCAGCCCUUUCAGUUAUUUCUCACCUGAAGGAGGGUGGGCCCUACUCUGGCCUCGGGCCAACCUUCUGUCAAAGAACAAAGCCCACUGCAAGCACCUCCUACACUGCCAUUGGUCUGUAAGAGAUGGCCUUCAGCUCUGAGUUCCAAGGACCCAGAUACCUGCUCAGCACCCCAUCCCCAGCCAGAGCCCUAGGAAGAUCAAGGCUAGAGGAUCAAAAAUCAACACAAGAUGCAGAGCUGGACAGGGCCGUAUGUUUGAACUCUGAGUUUCUUAAACUCUUACCCCCUCCCACCUUGUAUUUCUAAGAAAAAAGUUCAGAGGAGCUGCCUCCAGGGUAUCAGGAUUUAAGAACUGAAAGAGACUUUAUAAAUUCUUUCCCACUAAUCAUGUAUGAUGAAAUUAGAGUCUAGAAAUGGAAAUAGAAAGAAUUUUCUUCAUGGGGUGAAUUUGUGACACUGUGGACUAGAACCCAGCUCCUUAAUUCCUAUCCCAGGCCUCCCCUGAACCAGGUUAGGGGGCUUUCUGAAGGACACUGGGUCCACCUGAUGGAAUCUCCUUCCCCAGGUAGCAGGUACACUGCUUGCUGUUAUGGAUCAGCCCUUUUCCAUCCUUACCUCUGCGGCCUACCCUACAACCUACCCAUCUAGCCUCAGCUAUGGCCUCACAAGGCCAAGGCCCUGAGUCCUUGUCCUCACCCUUCUCCUCUUCCCCCACAUCCCACUGUCCGGACCCAAAACCCUCGCCAUGGAUUGAUUAAGUCCAGCAUAUAGCACACCCCACACAUACAGGGCUCGCCGCAGAGCACGUCAACCACCACUGUCUCCGUGGCAACCGGGGGCUUAAUUAACAAGCUGCAGUCCUGUCACCAUGGCAACAGCACCCCAACAGCCCCCCAUUUCCCUGCAGAUUCAGCCCAUCAUCCCUCUUUCCCAAUCCAGACUCCCUUCUCACUGCACCCACCCCCACCCCCACCCCACCUGGAGAGCUGAGGCCAGCAGAUCGCCCUGGUUCAUUGAGAAGAGAGGAAAGGAGAGGAGGGGGAUGAGAGAGAGACAGAGGGAGGCCUGUCACCAUGGCAACUGCAGCCCCGUUCAUAACCAGUUUGUUGCCAUGGAGAUUCCUAGGGCUCACCUUGGGCUGAGGUACUGGGCAGUGAGGUUCUGAGUCCUGGCUGGAGAAUGGAACAACUAGAAAACUCCUUGGAAGAGAUCUCCAGAUAAGAUAGAUAUAUACCAAUAGCAGCAGCAUUCUUCCCAAUUUAUAGGUGGAGAGACAGAAAUAUGAGAUUUGGUCUGGGUGAGGCAGAUAGCUCUGCCCUUCUAUGUCUUAAAAAAAGCCCGCAUUUUUAUGGCUGAAAGGACCCUCACAUAGCUUCCUGUCAACUCAUCAAUGUUAAGUGUGAGUAAACUGACCCUAGAAAGGGGAAGCAGUGAGCCCAAAGCCACACUAUAGCACCUGAGCUAGAGCAUGGAUGGACUAUAUCACAGCCUGGCUUCAUCCCCGAACAUAAGUUAGCUCCCUGUCCCACUAUGGGGACACAUCCCAACUCCUUACCAGGCCCAGAGCUCUGUCCAGUGUCCUGGGGAACAGUGAAGGUGGGUAAAAAUGCGGAAUAGCUCAGAGUUGUAACAACCAGUGCUAAGUCCAGUUCUAUCCAACCAGGUCACCAGCAACCUUCCCAUGGUACAGGGGUGGGCUGUAGGCAAGGGCUGAUGGCAGAGUUGAGGCUCCAUUUCUGGCUUGUUUCUUUUGCCCCCUGUAGAUUGUGUUCCCAGGGAUGUCUGAUCUCCUGGCAGCAGGAAACACCCCAAGGGAAAACAGCAUUCCCUUGAUCCAGAGUAAAAGAUCAUGCUCCCACAUGUGUGCCCUGAAAAUCUCCCCUAACCCUUCCCCGUCUUACAUAGGUCCCCUGCUUCCCUUCGGACCCCAAGAAAAGAGGUGGGGAGAACACCUUUUGGGGGCCAAAAUGCUGACAGGAGAACAGCUAUGGAAAAGACACCAGCAGACACCGAGUUAUCCCCGAGAGAUUUUGUCUAGUUCACCAAGCAAUGAUCUCCAAGGAGGAGAUGCUUAAGACUAUCUCAGGCCUUAAGAGGUUAAAAGCCACCCAACUCCUUCUUAAGAUGGGAUUUAAAUGCAUGCAUGCCCAUGGGUGCCCACUCCACAGAUAAACACAGAAAUGUACGCACCAGCAUGUCCACCGACACAAAGGCGGUACGGUGACACACGUAAGUUCUGACUCACUGAGCACCCCACAGGUCAGCAGAGUUAGUGUGGGAUGCUCUCUCCUCAAGAAUCAUACACACACAUCCUCUGCCACCAGCACACAGCAUUCUAGACUCACAUUCAUUAUGUAUGCACACCUGCACGCCCAAAAUCUGGGGGCCAUAUGUUACUCUGACUAUGAAAAAGAAUGGCAGUGUGGAUGGGGAGACUGAGUGUUACUGGGACAUGGAGGAGGCCAUCUUAGAACCAGGCCAGGGUUUAAGAAGUUGGAGGAGAGAAGGCAGGGAAGGAGAAGCGGGAACACAGAGCCACAUACUUUUUUACCUGAUGACCAUUAAGAACUCACUAGAUGUCAUGCUUUGGGCCUGGAAUCAGGCACCAAGAUAAAAGGACAUGGUUCCUACAUUUGAGAUGCUCCAAAGGAGAAGACAUACAAGUAAAUAACUGCUACCCAUCAGGACCUGUGCUUCGAUGGGUGGGCCAAAGAGAGAAAGAAAAAGGGAUUUUCAUUUUUUGGAUUUUUUGUUUGUUUUGCUUUUGUUGCUGAAGAUCGAACUCAUGACCUAGUGCUUGCCAGGCAGGCCCUUAUGCUGCUGAGCUAAACCCCUGGCCCGGGAAAGGGAUUUUCAGAAGAGGUGAGAUGAGCUAUAACUUACAGCAUGAGGAGGUAUUUUCUUGAUUUACAGCAGUAAGGAAUGAACAUGGAUAGGCAGAGACCAGGAGCAGUUAAGCAAGGGUUCAAAUGGUGAGCUAAAAGGUUUGGCCUUUAUCUGCAGUGAUGGUCUUUAUCUGCAAAGUUGUGAGUGAGAUGCUUAGAGCAAGACUGGGAAGACGGAGACCAAGGAGGACGAUGUGGUCGUGGCUGGCCUCCUUCUAGGGGUCCCCAGGAGACCUCAGCGCCUGCAGGGAGGCUGAGGAUUGGAGGAUCGACCAGACACUAAGGACCCGCUGACGCAGCACCGGACUCAGCGACUCUGACUUAGGCUCCCUGCCGCCCCCCACACCCCCUCACCCCGACUCUGACCCGAUCCCAUCUUCCUGGCCCAACCCGCCGUUCCUUCUCUUUCCUAGCCCCCAAAUCGACGUAGUCCCGCCCCUUCCCCUCGGCUCUGGUCCACCCCUUAACCACACAGCCUCCUCUCCCCUCGGUCCUCCGCCCCGCUGGUCCCCCGGCUGCUCCCGGCUUCCCCUCGCCCCAUCCCGGGGUCAGCGCCCUGGGCCUCUGGCCCCGCCUUCCUCCCUGUGACCCGCCCACCUCGAGUCUGGCCCCGCCCCUUCACGCUCGCAGUGCAGGGUCCCCCACACCCCGCCCUCCCUGGGGACCCCGCACCCUCGCAAGGCCCCGCCCCGCCCCCCCGCAGGGCCUGGCCCCGCCCUCUCGGCCCCGCCCCCUGCGGCCUCUACCUUUGCCGUCCUCCCCCGGGAGGUAGCGGGGGUCCGCGACAGAAUGCCGGCGGGACUCGGGGUCAGGGGUUGCUGCGGGCGCCGCCGGGGUCAGCGAGGUGACGGUGAACCUGCGGCUCAUGGCGCGGAGAGGGCCCGGCGGCCCGGAUCGCACAAGUGGCCGCUGCCGGGCUCCGGGCGGGAGGAACAGCGGAUCCCCUCACCCCCGCCCGCCGCGCAGCACCGCGCAGGGUCCUAGUGCCCGCUGUGCCCUGCCACCCUGGACGUGUCCACGUUGCUCCCAGACCCUGGGCUCCCACUUUCCCCCCAAGCUCCCGAAAAGCUCACCCAGCUUAGAGUCAUCCUUCACACGGGCCUAGUGUGUAGCUCCUGCAGACCGCGCCCACCUUUGCUGGGGCCCCCUAAACCUUAACACCUAGUGGCUCUCACGUGUUUUAGGCCAUGGGACCCAACUGGUGAACGGGAUAGACUAGUUUCUUACCCUCUUAUGAUAUUAUAGUUCAGACCCACUGAUGAGAAGAGCCAGCUAUCCAAGGACCUGGGGAGGGGAAUUCUCUGUUAGAAGAAAGAGCAGAUGCGAAGGCCUGGGAGUGAGAGGGAACCUGGACUAUUCAAGAACCCACAAGAUGGCCACUGCGUCUGGGAAACAGUGCGAGUGCCUGGGGACCAGAGUGAAAGCAGAUCAACCAGACUGGCUGCUGCUCUUAGGUGAAAACUCAGCUAAAGAGCAGGCCUGGAACCUGGAAAUCGGAUUAGGAGCCCCCUGCAAACCCCCAGGUGGGAGGGGUGAUGACCACCAGAGUGGUGGCAGUCAUGUGAUUCCAGACAAGUUAUGGAGCUGGACCCAGCAGGACCUGCUGCUGCACUGGAUAUGGCAUCUGAUGGAAGGAGGAGGAAACUCACUCGCCAGUAGAAGCGGUCCUGGCAGAAGUAGACUUUCCCUGCGGGGGACAAGAAGGCGUGAGAGGGGUGAUUUCUGCCCUCCCACAUACAUCUUCAGAGACAGGAGCAAAACUUUUUGCAGUCAUCUCUCCUGGCUUUUCUGGAUCUUUCCAAGGUUUUUCACAUGACCCUCCAUCUCCAUCAUCUGCCUGGGAGAUGCAAGAGGGCACAGAACCUGGCACACAGUAGGUGCUAUGCAUACAUUUUAUGAAUGAAUCAGCAAAUAAAUGAAUGAAUGGCCCAUCUUAA